GCUGUCGUGGCCGAGUGGUUAAGGCGAUGGACUUGAGAUCCAUUGGGCUUUGCCCGCGUGGGUUCGAUCCCCACCGACAGCA